rnacentral:rRNA from 1 species
UGGGGAAUUUUGGACAAUGGGCGAAAGCCUGAUCCAGCAAUGCCGCGUGUGUGAAGAAGGCCUUCGGGUUGUAAAGCACUUUUGUCCGGAAAGAAAUCCUUGGCUCUAAUACAGUCGGGGGAUGACGGUACCGGAAGAAUAAGCACCGGCUAACUACGUGCCAGCAGCCUCGGUAAUACGUAGGGUGCAAGCGUUAAUCGGAAUUACUGGGCGUAAAGCGUGCGCAGGCGGUUUGCUAAGACCGAUGUGAAAUCCCCGGGCUCAACCUGGGAACUGCAUUGGUGACUGGCAGGCUAGAGUAUGGCAGAGGGGGGUAGAAUUCCACGUGUAGCAGUGAAAUGCGUAGAGAUGUGGAGGAAUACCGAUGGCGAAGGCAGCCCCCUGGGGCCAAAUACUGACGCUCAUGCACGAAAGCGUGGGGAGCAAACAGGAUUAGAUACCCUGGUAGUCCACGCCCUAAAACGAUGUCAACUAGUUGUUGGGGAUUCAUUUCCUUAGUAACGUAGCUAACGCGUGAAGUUGACCGCCUGGGGGAGUACGGUCGCAAGAUUAAAACUUAAAGGAAUUGAC